UCCCAGCUACUCAGGAGGCUGAGGCAGGAGAAUCGCUUGAACCCAGGAGGCAGAGGUUGCAGUGAGCUGAGAUCGCACCACUGCACUCCAGCCUGGGGACAGAGCGAGACUCUGCAUAUUAAAAAAAAAACAUCAGUGUAUUCCACACCUAGAAAUGUCAGCUGUUCACAUUUUGUCACUUUUGCAGCAGGUCUUUUAUUAUUUUGUAAAAAAAAGGACCCAAACAUUACAGAAAACAUUGAAGUUCUCUUUUGCACCAUCCUCAAUUCCAUCCCCUCUCCCAGAGGCAAAUAUGAUCAUGAAUUUAAUGUUUUUAUAUUUUUCCUUAUAUAUGGAACCAUGAACAAUAUAUUAUUCUUGUGCAUUUAAUUUUUCAUUUAAAUGUUAUAUUGAUAUAGUAUUCUGCAACUUGCUUUUUUUCAGCCAACAAUAUAUUCUGUAGACCUAACCAUGUUAGCACAUUUACACUUACCUCAAUCUUUUUACCUGCUGUGUAAUAUUCCAUCAUGUCAUGAUUUAUUUAGCUCUUCUCCACCUGAUGGGCUUGUAAACUGAUUCUAGUUCUCUGCUAUUAUGACUAAUCCUAAACUGAACAUUGUGGUCAGGAGACAUUCAGAUUCUUUGUUAUAUAUUUUAAUAAUGCUUCAAUUUUAUAUGCUAUUUGGAAUAAGAUGCUCUUUAUCUUUUCAUAGACUCAGAAGCAGCCUUGAAAAGAAAAAUAUCACUUUAUCUGCCUUCCUCUACCUGCCAGAUGUUUGUUCUUUUAGGGGUAGUAAGAUUAGAUCUUUGCAGCUUGCUUUUAUUAGUUUGGUUAUUGUGGUUACUACUAGUACACAUCAGGUGAAAACAUUCAUUCCCACACUUUAGAAUCUUACCUCCCCCCCAACAACACCCCCACGGUAGUUCUGGGUCUUACUGAACAAUGAGAGGCACAGUACAUUUAGAGGCUUUGGGAGGGCACCUCCCUUUCAUCUGCUAACGGGUGUGUCGAUCAAUUAUAUGCACCUGUUCCCGGAGCUUCCCAACUCUUCAGUGAAAGACCUUUUGGGGUGGAAUAUUUCCUGCUUGCUCUUCUGGGCUAUUUUAGGAAGAUGGGCUGAUACACUGUUCACAUCUUCUUAGACAUAAUUGAGCAUGACAAAAGGUGGGUGUGUACUGGGGUUUGCAGAAGAAUCCUGCAGCAGUGGCCCUUUAAAGGGAGAUUCUUUCUUACGGAUGCUCCUGGCUCACUGGCACUCAACCCGUUUGGCAUCCCUGUUUGUUAGUCAUAGAGAAACCGGGUCACCGUUACAAGAGCGGUGCCAUUUUGAUUCUGGGUUAUGAGGGGAGGCAGGCAACUGCUGCUUGGGAAUGGUGAUUUUAAAUCAAAGUUAAUUGGGAUUUCAAUUAAUUUAAACAGACAUGAAAGUCAUACUUUCCCAGAACACACGUGGCAGCUGACGGCAAUUCCAUCCUUCCAGUUUGCUCAGGUUGAAAACUCUGGCGUCAUCCCAGCUUCUCUCUUCCUUUUACAUCCCACAUCCUAUCAAUCAGUGAGUCGCCACCUCUAGCUUUGAACUCCCAGGGUUCUGGCCCAUCUUCUCUCUUCCACCCUGAUCCAAGCCCCAUGAUCUCAUUCCUGGAAUCUGCGGAAGCUGCUUCUAGCAUCUUGCUUCUCUCAUGCUUAUCUCUUUCCAGUCUAUUCUCAUCGAGGAGCCAGAAUGAGCCUUUGAAAAUGCAAAUCAUAGCCCACUAUGCCUCUGCACAGAACCCCAACCAAACAGGGCAGACAGCGGGCAGGCCAGAGGAUGUGUGGCAGGGGCAGGGAGGUUGGGUGGGGAAUGUGGUCCAUCUUUUUUCAGUAGCAUGAUAUUUCCUUCUGAUCAUGGGCCUUUUGGAAGCAGCCUAGAGAAGCUAGGCCAGAUCUGACCUCCAGGAACUGCUAGAUGAGAGAUGUUCCAGAUCAGAAGGAUAUUUGAGACUGAAGUAGGAAGUACAUGGCAUAAAGGAGUGAAGCAGGUGCUCAUAUACAAACAAUGAGCACGCUCUCUCCAGUGCAGUAAUAGGGAGUGGUGGGGACUGUGGCAAAGUGGAAAGCCUGUGCUCUGCCUACAAGGGACAGCUGCUCCCAGCUCCAGCCAACUGUCAUCAUAUGAGAGUAUAGGUCUAAUGCUGUCAGAUCUUCCAGUUUUUCAAGAGAAGCUGGAAAUUCAGCCCGAUAGACUCUCCAUAUGCUCCAUUGUU
rnacentral:lncRNA from 10 species